GGUUUGAUUACCCAAGUUUGAGGUACUAUCACAUGAAAAGGCAAAAAGCCCUCAGUAUUAUCACGGUUGAAAAAAUCGGCGACAAUGUUGAUAAA
rnacentral:sRNA from 1 species